rnacentral:miRNA from 1 species
GAUUCCCUGGGCUUAGGUGGAGCCCAGGAAUCUGUAUUUUUAGCAAGCAUCCAGGUGCUUCUUAUCACUG